rnacentral:rRNA from 1 species
UCCAGAGUCUGCAAGCGUUAUUCGGAUUCACUGGGCGUAAAGGGUGCGCAGGCGGUCUGGUGUGUCAGAUGUGAAAUCCCGAGGCUCAACCUCGGAACUGCGUCUGAAACUACUCGACUAGAGUACUGGAGAGGGUAACGGAAUUCACGGUGUAGCAGUGAAAUGCGUAGAUAUCGUGAGAAACACCAGAGGCGAAGGCGGUUACCUGGACAGUUACUGACGCUCAGGCACGAAAGCAUGGGGAGCAAAAGGG